rnacentral:rRNA from 1 species
AUUGAACGCUGGCGGCAGGCCUAACACAUGCAAGUCGAGCGAGCGGCGGACGGGUGAGUAAUGUAUGGGGACUGCCCGUUCUAGGGGGAUAACUCCUGGAAACCGUAGCUAAUACCGCAUCCUAUCGGAUAACCCAUAUGGGAGUAGCUAGUAGGUGCGGUAAUGGGUCACCUAGCCGACGAUCCCUAGCUGGUCUGAGAGGAUGAUAAGCCACACUGGGACUGAGACACGGCCCAGACGCCUACGGAGUCAGCAGGGGGGAAGUGUGGACAAUGGGGGAAAGCCUGAUCCAGCCAUCCAGCGUGUAUGAUGAAGGCCUUCGGGUUGUAAAGUACUUUUGGUAGAGAAGCGGUAUCUGCAGAAGAAGCACCGGCUAACUACGUGCCAGCAGCCGCGGUAAUAC